rnacentral:rRNA from 1 species
AUUGAACGCUAGCGGCAUGCUUAACACAUGCAAGUCGAACGAGUGGCGGACGGGUGAGUAAUGUCUGGGAACCUGCCCGAUGGAGGGGGAUAACUACUGGAAACAGUAGCUAAUACCGCAUACUAUCGGAUGUGCCCAUAUGGGAUUAGCUAGUGGGUGGGGUAACGGCUCACCUAGGCGACGAUCCCUAGCUGGUCUGAGAGGAUGACCAGCCACACUGGAACUGAGACACGGCCCAGACUCCUACGGGAGGCAGCAGUGGGGAAUAUUGCACAAUGGGGGCAAGCCUGAUGCAGCCAUCCCGCGUGUAUGAAGAAGGCCUUCGGGUUGUAAAGUACUUUCAGCGAGGAGGCGUUACUCGCAGAAGAAGCACCGGCUAACUCCGUGCCAGCAGCCGCGGUAAUAC